CAAGAUUACAUUUAGAAAUGCUAACCAAUUAUCAAUACAAAUACAAAAAUAUUUUAUAUCAAAUACAUACAAAACUCAAAUAAUUAUUCAGUACACAUGUAUUGAAAAUUUUAUCUAAAACGGUCAUCAAAGAAGGAGGUAACUUUCUCUGAAGGGAGUAGAGAACUUCCACUUUGACCAUGGCCUUGUCUAAAUAUGAUCAGAGUCGGUGAACUCAGGGGGCUUCCAUAGCCUUGGCAGCUCAUGACAAGAGCCUAGGGUGAUUACUGAGGCCAUAAACAAGAGUGUCAAUUUGUUAAGUCAACAACAGGAGUCACUGUGCAUUUACUCUUCAUGUAGGAUCUUUGUCCUUAGUGUGCUGUACAUUGAGAUUUAAUGCUAUAACUAGUACUCAAACAGUAUUUUUCACUUUAUGUUUCUGUGUGGGAGCAAACUGUUGAAAUCUUUACUUAAUGUAUGCUAAACUGAUCUUCUGUAUAUAAAGAGAAAUGAAAUGAAUCUUGAUGUGAAUGGAAGGGGAGAGGGAGUGGGAAAGGGGAGGGUUGCGGGUGGGAGGGGACGUUAUGGGGCGGACGCCAUUGUAAUUUAUAAGCUGUACUUUGGAAAUUUAUAUUCAUUAAAUAAAAGUUAAAAAAAUAAAAAAAUAUAAAAAAGAAAAUUUUAUCUAAAAUAUAUACUUACUUUUUUCUUGACAAAACAUCAGACUGCUAUACCAUACAAUUUUUUCACAAUUUAUUUUAUUUAUUUGAAAAGGCACAGUUGCAAAGAGAGAGUGAGAGAGAGAAAGAGAGAGAGAAUCUUCCAUCCACUGGUUCACUCCUCAAAUGGCUGCAAUUGUUGCGGCUGGUAUAGGCCAUGUCUUCCACAAGGUUGCAGGGCCCAAGCAAUUGGGCAUCCUCUGCUGCUUUCCUAGGUGCAUUAGUCGGAAGCUGGGUCAGAAGUAAUGCUGCUAGGCCUCAAACCAUCAUAUAUAUGGGAUGGCAGGUGCUCAGGCAGUGGCUUAACCCACUACACCACAAUGCUGGCCCCUUGAAUAUAAUUUCACAAAUGACUAAACAUUUUUUUAAUCCUUAUUUUAGUCUAAUUUUUAACUUUGACUUCUUUUUCUGUCCUUUCAGUAUCACAAGCUAA
rnacentral:lncRNA from 1 species